CUUAUUACUUAUUUUUCUCAGUCUUUAUUUAAACAAAUAAUUAUUUAACCAAAAAAUGACGAUAAUAUUCCCAAUAUAUGUAUCUAAAUGCACUUCACAAAAGUUUCACGAAAACUAACUAAAUCGCAAACUAUCUUGUUCUGCAAAUACAUACACACAACAUAUAAUAAAAUAGUUCAUUUUUAUCGUAUAAAUUUCGAUAAUAUGAAAAUUUCUCGAGUCAAAUUCGCGAUUUUAGUUUUCUUAGUUUUCUCAUAACCAUGAAUAUUACUGUAGUUUGCAUUAUGGUGUCCGAGAUAUUAUCGAAACAAGGAACGAGAUGGUUCGAAUCGAUUCGAUCUGAUUCGCGUUCGAUUGAAUUAUUCGAUGCACGUCUCGUGUGCAACAUUUUUAAUUUAAGUUCGACGGCAUCGCGUUCUGUUUUUUUCUCUGGUACGGUCGAUUCGUGAAUGGAUUUCAAAUGGGACCAAAACGCAUCAGUAAUAAUGGUUAUCAGUAGGACCAGAAUGAAAUUUAUUUACUGAUUUUCAAUACACGGAACACAGUUAUCAUAUAUAUAUGAUUCUAAGUCAUAUAACAUGAUUUUGAAUAACACGGAAUCAAUUAAUCGUAUUAUUCCAGGAUUUCAUGUAUAUCGUAAGUUUGAAAUUAAAUAAAUA
rnacentral:misc_RNA from 1 species